GCCACGGAGCAUGCGCACUGGGAGAGAUAUCCGGAAUGAAAUGGUCCUCCAUGAGAGCCACAAGUGCAUUCAACAACUUGAAAACUGGAUUGAAAUGAGAGACAGAGCAGCCACUCCAGAAGCUUCCAAAAUCACACUGCACCUUCUUGACCUGCUGCAAUCCACGUGGUGAAGUAGCUCCCAUGUUGCUGUUUGGAUGUGGACUUUGGUGGCUUGGCCAGAAUUUAUUGCCCAUCUGUGAUUGCCCAGAGGGCUAUCAAGUGUCCACUGCAAUGCUGUAAGGCUGGCGUCACAUAUCGACCAAACCAGGGAAUUGGAAAGGGAGCAUCUACUGACAGAAAGCUCAACUCAAACACUGGAUCAGGAACUGCCAGGAACAUUUAAUUCUCUGGAGCUUUGAACAAGGAAGGAACAAGCAUCGUUUACAGUGAAGAGAAACCAUACACGUGGUCUGUGUGGACAAGCCUUCAGUCAGUCGUCUGCCCUGUCAGUACAUAUAUACAGUCAAAACAGGGUGACAACAAUGACAUCCAGCAGCACUUGUUUUGUAAUAUCAUAGUAAUGGAUCUCAGUUUGAGUUAAGCAAUGGCCAGUCAUCUCCUAUCCUCAUUAAGGUCUUUGCACAAACAUAGAGCAAACAGCUAAAUUCCAAAUGUGAGAGUGACGAUCCACUAUCCUAAGACUCCCUUUGACAGACCAUUGUAUUGAGGAAUCAUGACAAAGCUAAAUUCAAUAAGGACCAGAGAAUAUUAUUCUUCCUUGGGUAGCCAGUCUUUGAAAGCAUUGUGUCUUCAGACAUCAGUAGAUCGAAACAAGGUGAAUUUAUUCCAAUUUGUACCACAUACAUAGGGAAGAGGUCUCUAAGUCUAGCUCAGAGACACACAACCUUUUACAGCUCAAAACAGCAUAUUAAGUCAUUUUCACAUCAGAAUGGUUCACGUAACAUUGACACAUAAUUUAUUUCAUAUCAGUUACUUACUACAAAAACAGGACAAAGUUCUGAGUCAUCUAAUUUCAACAGGGCUUCCACUUCCACAGUAUCUUAAGAGCUUCUCUAUCCCACCAUCAGGAUGCAUCACAGGAUGCAAGCGUUUCCGCGUGAGUAAUACUUGCAUGACUAUCUUAAGCUAUACAGAUAGGCACAUAGGGCUCAGGAACUGUUGAUGGUCCACUGUCAUAGACAUGCGGUAAGACUAUGUCUAGAUAUAGUUGUAUUUGACUUAUAUCUUAUGCAGUACUGCUUGGACACAUUUACUUUCUACUUGUUCUGUGUUUUAAAGUUCUGCUCCUUUUCCUUCUCUGUUCCCAAUGUACAUUCUCCUACCCUCCUUACCCUACUUCACCCUGGUUUGAUCAUACUGAAUACAGAAGAAGAGGCUUGUGAUUAUAGGAGGGCAAUCGUCUCAGCUGCAGGAGUUCCUCAGGAUCAGGUUCUAGUCCCAACCACCUUCAGCUGUUUCAUCAAUGACCUUCCCUGCACCAUAAGGUCAGAAGUGGGAAUGUUUGCUGAUGCUUGCACAAUACUUGAGCACCGUUUGUGGCUCCUUGGAUACUGAAGCAGUAGAUAUCUAAAUGCAGUGAGCCUGGACAACAUUGACGUGAGCUUGCCAUGCGACAAAGAACAUUUGCACCAACAAGUACCAAAAAAUAAUGACCAAAUCUGAGAAAUGAGAAUCUAACCACAGCCAAGUGACAUUCACUGGGUGUAUCUUUAUGGAAUUCCCCAUUAUCAUCAUCCUGGGGGCUAAUAUUGAUGAGAAACUGAAAUGGACCUACCAGCUGAAUAAUGUGCCUGCAAAAUACGUCUAACCCUCUCAACCACCUGAUCUUCCUGUCCAACCACGUUCAGGGAUUUGUGAAUGUUCACUCCAAGAUCUCUUUCUUCUUCUACACCACUUGCUAUUCCUCACUUUCAUAGUUCAGUCUCGAAAAAAUCAUUAUCACUCACUCCUGUGGAUUCAAUUCCUUUCACCAUUUUAUCUUUCAACUUGAUUGAUAUCUCCCUGCAGUCCAUAAUUUUUUUUUGUCAUGGUCAACGAUAUGAUUACUUACUGCAUGUCAUGUGCAAACUUCUAAAUUAUGGCUUCUACAGCUAGGUUUUAAUGAUGGUUAUGUUUCACAAAACAGUGGAACUCCACUGGAUUAAAAACUGAAAGGACUGCAAAUGCUGUAAAUCAGAAACAAAUAAAAAGCAGAAAUUACUAGAAAAGGUCAGCAGAAGUGGCAGCAUCUGCAGAGAAAAAUCUUAAGAUAAUAUUUCAGUGUGAGUAACCCUCAGAAUUUCACUGGAAACAGACAACCAGAUAUGGUUCAUUUUUAGUUGGGGAUUUGCAGCAGCUAUA